UAUGCGCGCCCCUCCCUCAGCCCACCGGCGACCUCCCAUCCUCCACCGUCUACCCCACCAUCGGAUCUCCUCCUCCCCUCUCCAUCGGAUCUUCUCCUCCUCGGACGCGUCAAACCCACGAAAUUUCCCUCCUCGCGGCUGGAACCCUAGCUCGUGCCUGUGGGGACUGGGCUGGAGGUGCGGCACGGGAUUCGCACCACAGGAUUCGCCAGCGACGAGUCCAAAAGGUCGUCGAAUCGGGGAACGGGAUGGCGCACCCUGCUGCAGCCGCCGGUCGGGACGAGCGCAGCGGCGACGAACGUCGGUGCGCCUCCGUUUCCUCGACCUCCAAGGACGCGGGCGUCGGAUUUGUUCUCUCCUGACCAGCCUCGGUAUCCAGCUCCCUACAGCCACCGUCGGCGUUGACUCCCAAGGCGAGGAUGACGACGACGCCAAAGAUGAGGAGCCCCGAGCUCGAGCACGACCACUACGACGCACUGCACAAAGGCCCCUGCUUCCUGCCUGCCCUUCCCUUUGCUUGGAAGAUAGCUCUCUCCAGAUGUUGUUCCUGUCCUUCUCCUUGGUUGUUGAGCGCUGCACCCACUCAUGUAUGCAGGUUGAGUCCAAGCACAAGUAAGCACCAUUAUUAGGUGAGAAGACGACGGUGACGCAGAGGAGGACGAGGACCCGCGCUCCAGCCCGACCACGACUAUGCACCGCACGGUCCCUGCUUCCUGGCUGUCGCCAAUUGCCCCCUUCCCUUUACAGUACUACUCUAUUUGUUUUCAUUGCUUUUCACCCAGUUUUGCACACUUUCUGGCCCUUCACUUUUUUGUGUGCAAAUGUUCUGAUUGCCUCCAUAUGGUUGUUUCCGUCCUCCUGCUCGUGCUGUCUCCAUCCUCCUGCUCAAGUCGUCGCCGUCGCCUCCCAUCCUUCAUGGCCUGCGUGUGUGCGCCCACUGUUGGAGGACGACGUUGAACAUGAAGCGGAGCCCAGCCGGAGCGGUCUGACGCGGUGGUCGUGGCCAAGGAGCGGUGGUCGAUGCCAUGGAGCAGGGGCCCUCGGUCGCCUGCACAUCGGCUGCGUUCUGAACUAAUGCUUUCUGCAACUGCAAUGUUCCCCUUCACAUUGUAUCUUGUGUAGGCAGAAGGAAUGCAGCUCAGUGACGGCGUCGGCUAUAACUGGAUCGAUGGCCUGAAGGCUUUUACUAAGAAGAUGAAGAAUGUUGUAGAAUAGUGUCCAUCAACAAAGAGUCUUACUACUACCUGUUGGAGAGGCUCUAUCCUCGGGUGAUUGAUUACUUAAGAAGUAUACUGAAUUAUGAUAUCCAUCGAUCUAAUUUUGUAUAGGAAGUUUGAAAAACUAAAGAAUCUGUGGUACAUGAUUUGAUUUACUGAUUUAGAUUUUAGUAAAUUGUGACCGGAAGUUUUUUCACAAAACCAGUGCACCACCCUUUCUACACACAUCAUUCAUGGAUUGGCAGAGUAAAGGUUCUAUUCAACAUCUUUGGUGGAUUGCAUAAAUGGGCUAGAGUAAAAAUAGACCAGAAUUGUUAUAUGUGCUUAGGGAAGUGGGAUUACAUCAAGAUUUUUUUGACAAAAUGAGAAAUCAAUGGCUCAAGGAGAGUAAGCCCAAAGAGAUAAGUAUUGUUUUCCUUUAGUAGCUUGCCGCAUAAUUCAUUCAAACAUAUUUAGAGUGGAGCGGGAAUAUUCAAACAAGGAAAUGUACACAAUAUCUGUUAGUAUACAUGUGACACUUUCCCGUCUUUCGACUAAUGAUUGCCUCCUGCCAGGUAUCACUGAUAACACAUUCAUCACAUCAUUUGUGUAGCUCAUUCUGGUGUAAGUCGGGCCAAUUUAGAAAAGAUUUUAAAGCAGAUUCAUACAGGUUAUAGAAGUCAGAGUCAAAUAGUAUAAUAAGUGAUUUGUUUGUGCAUAAUUUCUAAUUGAUCGUCUUCUAAGGAUAAAUGGAACUGCUACCUUUCCUCUCUCCAAUAAACUAUUAGACCCUGCUUGUAACUAUUUUUCAUCUUGGUGUGAUUUAUAAGGGAGGCCAUGCCAUUAGUUUUUUGUUAUUACAUGCUGUGAUGACCCCGAUUCAUUGAUGUAUAGUGUCGUAUGUGGUCAAUUACCUAAUAUGGUAGUAUCACUUCUCCUGGUUUGCCUUGGUCUGAAAUCUGACUUUUGGACUGAUUGUAGUCAAUCUGAAUUAGUGAGGUUCUUUUUUCCAACUGUCCAUGUUCAGUUCUCUACAUUAUCAUGCAUUUUCUUUGGUUUAAAGAUGUCAUGAUGUUCACCAAGGCAGAGAAGAAAUGUUUUAAAGUUGUCCCUUCAAUUGAAACAAGUAUGACUUGGUCCUUAGUGCCUAUGCAGACAUGAAAAAGGAAGGUCGAGAGGUUUAAAUAUGUCAUGAUGUUUACAAUUGCGGAUAUCCUGCUUCAGACUUAAUAACAGACACUAUGACAAUGGCUCAAGAGAUAUCAGAUCUACCUUCUUGGCUGGGGGCGUUAUGGGUGGCGCACGCCUCGGCCCCCUUGAUGGCCGUGGUGGAUGGACAUGAACACGAGGGGGGAUCAGGGCGGAGAGAAGGGUGGUUGGCGGGGGACUCAUCCUUGGCAGUUCAUGGGAAAGUACGGUGUGAAGCAGAGGGGGCGCCAUGGCGAAGUGUGAAAGGAGGAAAAUGGUUGCCGGAAAGCAGGUAGAUCUACACCUUGAGAGAUGGCAUUUUGCGGUACAUUAUUUAGGUAAGGAUAUUGUGCUUUCUUCUGAAAACUCUGGACUGUCGACAAGAUUGAGUUGUGUUCCAUUUUUUAAAAAUUACUUAGAAUCCUGCUUCUGGCAAUACUACUAUGAACUGGCAUACCUCGUGAUCAUGAGAGG